UACGAAGGGGGCUAGCGUUGCUCGGAAUGACUGGGCGUAAAGGGCGCGUAGGCGGAUGGCACAGUCAGAUGUGAAAUUCCCGGGCUUAACCUGGGGGCUGCAUUUGAUACGUGUGAUCUAGAGUGAGGAAGAGGGUCGUGGAAUUCCCAGUGUAGAGGUGAAAUUCGUAGAUAUUGGGAAGAACACCAGUGGCGAAGGCGGCUCACUGGCCCGAUACUGACGCUGAGGCACGAAAGCUAGGGGAGCAAACAGG
rnacentral:rRNA from 1 species